AGGUCUGUAAGCUCAAACAUGGGAGAGCGCUCAAUAUCCUUUACGGGACUUGAGAGGGUGAUGGUUCGAAUCCAUCCAGAUCGG
rfam:Cucumis melo, WGS project CAJI01000000 data, contig: 16092